ACAAGAUCCUGUUUUCUUUGCUUUUAUCAUUUCCGCUACAUAGUGAGAUGUAAAAGAAGCCUGUGUUUGGUAAAGAAUUUCAAGUCCCACCUAUUCCUAAACGUACAGACAAAAAGGAUCGGACGUAGGCUGAAAUUGUUCAUAUAUACAAUCUGGAAGCCAAACUGUGUGGAGCUAACUGAAGCCACAAAUAAUGUCUGUGAGCAAUCGACUUGAAAACUUUAAUAAGUUCUUGUCAGAAAGAAGCAGUGAAGUCAGAAAGGUUGCAACUAGUUCUUGGGCAUUUAAUUAUUACAUCAUUUAUUUGACUGUACGCGUGAUCGGGUUGUUUAUACUUGUUACAGUACUGUUUCCAUCCAUGUUUCCCAUUGACUAUUCUUGUUCGUGGCGUCCAACAACAAACGAAAGCUCUUCGUUCAACAGUACAAAUCUUUUUCCAUAUAACGAGACAUUCGUUAAUUGUAAAAUUCGCGAUGGUAACAGUGAAUGGUGGAUUAAAUUUGUUGUAGCUGUUGAUGUUUUAUCGAUAA